GGGUGUUGUGCAAAAGAAGAAAAACAGACCAAGAAAGCUCCUGAGUAGAUUGAGCUGAAUAUGAGUGAUCCUCUAUGAACAACAGCUAACAGCACUCUAUGACAUGACUUGAAUAUUUUUCCUCACCACUGUAAAAUGAAAUCCAGAGGAUAAUCACAGAAUCCUCUAGUUGGAAGAGAUCUUCAAGAUCAUCAAGUCUAACCACCAACCUGACCUGACCUACUGAGCCCCAUCAUUGAAUCAUGCCCCCCCCAAAUACCUCCAUGGACAGGGUUUCACUCUGGCUUAUUCCACAUUUCAUUUCAGUAUUGAACUCUCUGUUUUGCAUUUGCACUAAUUUGGCAAAAUCUCUGUUACUUUCCACUUCUUGAAUUCUCUUUGAUCAUGAUAGAUCUCUCCGUUCAUGCUGUGUUGACCUGGAAAAUCCAGGCUUUUGUCUUCUCUGCUGUUUCUGUAUUCAUGGUGAGAUAAAACGCUCAGUUUGUUAGUAAUAGGGGAAGAGUGUAUAUAGGCUGGCAAAGCUGAUAUAGGCAAAGACUGUAUUAGCUUUGAUUAAUGAUCAUUCUGCGGUGCUGAAUGCCAUCAGUGCUUCCUUCUCAUCUGAACUCUGACACUACGCUCAGAGCUGUAGGUCAUCUGCUGUGGCAGAGUGGACUGGGAAUGCCUCUCCUCAAAUGCAUGAAGACAUGUGGAAAGGAACAGCAGUGUGUGGUGGUGGGAAGUAAAGUUGUUACAGUUUGGAAAGGUUUGAACCUUCAAGGAAAUCAACAUCUUCAGAAACGUGGUCUUCCAUGCUAUGCAUCUAUUUCUAAGUAAUCACUGUUUUCAAUCUAGUGAGCGUAUUUAAGCAAAGAAACUUACCAUGUUAUCCUACCUCACCUGAAUUUUCAAUUAAGAUGAAAUUAUAUUUUUAGCAUCUCUCUAUUAUCUGGUAUAGAGGACACAAUGCAGUCUAAUCUAAAAGUAAUUAACUUAUGCUGAAAAAAUAAGGGACAUAGCUGAGUAUCAUACAGCUCCUGGGAAAAUGCAUUUCUAAAGUGUGACUGGAGCCUACAUACAGUGAACACAGUUCUUAGGAAUAUUUUCAUGCUUUAUAUGUAUGCUGUGUCAUGUUUUAAAAGUUGGCGUUUGAGAUUUAUUUCUACCACCUCCAACAUUUUAAAUUGGCUUCCCCAUCCUUCAGUUAAAAACUUACGUUGUAAUAACCUAGGAAUAAAUCUGAAGGUGCUUCAAGGUUUUUAUCCAAGAGGAAAUUCGUGUUAUAGGACAUGAAGUGUUUUUCAACUCA